GUCCGUCCGUCCUUUUUGGGCGGGGCGGGUCCGUCCGUCCGUCCGCUUUUGAGACCCUACCAUUGGAAACAUUAGUAAGAACUUUUACAAUUUACAGUCGCGACGCCAACGGUAAGCUCACGUGAAUUUUAUUUUCCAAGUGACGUCAUAAUGGCUGCCAAGUGAUGGCUAAAGCUGUGUUUAGUUUUGUGCAGUUUACAAGAUGGUGGGUAGUCUAUAGCUCUAAGAAGCAAACUCAAACUUGAAGCAAAAAGGUAUAUAAUAGUACUGGGACUGGCCAGAACAGCUCAGGAUUAGGUAUGCAACUGGCCUAUCAGUAGAUCUUUGUGUAUGAAAAGUUUCAUUUUGAUACUGUUGUCUAGAACGACAGUUGCAUCCAUAAUGUAGAUUCAGCCUGCAUGGUCCAUUCUUUCAUGCCAUUUUUUGACUGUUCUGUUCCUUUUUUCUACAGAUUUCACACUCAGGAUCAUUAAUCAAGUCAUUUUACCUCAAUAGAAUUGUUUGAAAUCCUUUUAGAGCUAGAUUUUAUACUUGUCAUUAUAGUCAUAUUAUGUGCCAUUGACUUUCAGAGACCACAGCAUCCUUAUUUCUUGCUGGAACAACUUUAAACUUCUGGAGUAUAUUCUUCUAGCUACUAUCUUGUAAGCAAAUGGACAAGAAGCUGGAGUUGUCUAGAACACUGUACGCAUCCGGUAAAGUCAAGGACAUCAGUUGCUUGCAGUUCUGUUAUAGUUUAUUUAAACUGGUUGAUGUUUUUUAUGGUGAUAAAUAUGUAUGUUCUGUGUAUUGUAUGCAAAUUUCAUAGUAAAACUAUUAAAUGAAAAAUAAAUAUAAAAUAAAGUA